GUUCUGUCUCUCCCCAGCAAUCUGGAGUCUUUGAGGAGGACUCUUUUGUACCAUUGUACUGCAAAGGAUUGUAACUCAGAAUUUCAAAAAAUGAGUCAAGCUGGUGAAGAAAGUUCUUACAGUGACACAGAACUGGAAGUUGAGAAGGAGGAACCUCUCUCUGCUCUAGCUCCAACAGUUUAUGCCCAAGAUGAAGGAUCCAUUGAUAUAACAGCAAGUCCUGCAUUUCAGUGUUUAGAUGAGGUACCAUGUACCCUUUCUCUGUCUUUAGCACUACAUAUGGUGUCAAAAUCAAUGAAUUUGUACUAUAUAUUUCAUUGUUAAUAAUUGAAGGUUGUUGCCAUAUGCUAGCCAUAGCUUCCUUUCUUAUCCCUCUGUAAUUAUUAGGUGAUAAGAAUGUUUUGUGAAACAUACACAGGGCAUAUACGUCUCGCUGGGGAUGGUGCGCUUAAGAGAGAUCUAUGUUAUUUCUUCCAGUGAACGUGGCCUUGAGGGAGUGAGAACAGACAGAUUUUGUUUUUGUAGCUUUCUAGCUAUAGAGGCAAUUGCAUGAUAGUUUUUAGAAAGGCUGAAUAGGUGCAGGAAAAAUCCAAGCUAGAUGGCUUCUGAAGCACUAAUCACUAAUAAUGACAGAAGAAAUCUUUUGGAACCUAGUUUCUUUUGCAGAAUUUUCUGAGUUAAGAAAACUUUUGAAAUAACAGAAAUAUUUUAGAAUUUAAAACAUUAAUACAGCAGUAAACAGUGUAAUGAUUCGAUGGCGGUUUAACUUGGUAGUAAUUAUAUCUUGGACUAAAAAUUGUGAGAGGAUUUUGGUUUGGGGUUGUUUUUUUUUUUACACCUUAUUUUAUUUACUGCAAGUCAAAUUACAGCAUCAUCUGCAUUCACUACAGCAGUAUAGAAUCUUUAUGUUGCAAACAGCACACACUAGUAAAGAGAACCUUAAACAAUCAGAAUAAACACAGAAUAUUAUAGUAUGUGCAGCUUUUCCAAAUGCCUAAUUCAGUUCAGAGAAAUCGCUUAAUCUUAGCGCUUCCAACAGAGGCCAAAUAGUAAAACCAGACAGCACCAUUUGCAUCUGAUGCAGUUGCGAAGGAUCAUUUGUGCAUUUAAAGAAACAGUUUGCCUAGCUAGUUCAUAUGGAUCCAUUUUAAUUAAGAUAAAACUAAACUGUAGCAAAGUUCCAUGGAGGAAGUUGGGAGAAGUAAAGGAAGAGAAAAGUUAUAGAUGAAACGGUAUUUUCAUCAGCUGUUCCAGUUUUCAUUAAUUUAUGAUCAACUGGAUUCCAGAGCAUAACACUUUAUCUAAGAAUGUAAUUUCAGUGGAAGGUGAAAAUGUAUGCCUUCACUUAAAACCUGGUCCUAAUGGCAUUUUUUUUAAUAGAAUAAUAAGUAAAAGUUUGGUAAAACAUAGCAUUGAAAAAAGAAUCUCUUCAGUUGGAAUUAACUAGAAACCUAAUCUGUCUUUUCAUUUUCACAAAAUUGCACAGAUGUUAAGAUUAAAAUACUAGCUAUUCAAGUAUGUUUUUUUUAUCUAAGAGAUAUAAAUACAGAAAAAAACGUCAUUUUUUAUUUUUUAAAACAAUUUGUGUAGAACCUCAGUGGGUUUCUACACGAUAGAAUCCUCCCCCACCCAGGUACUUGCACACUUUUUCUAUAGACUUUCAGUUGUGGUAGAAUCUUUGGUAUGUCAACAGGAAGGAUAUGCCUGCCACAAUAUAUCUUCACCCCCCAACAAAAGUAAAAUAAAACUAAAUGAUAUAACAGUCUAAAAUACAUUCUACUUUUUGGUUUUGUUUUCAUUCUUUUUAAUCACUGGGAAAACAUAUUUUUCUAGCCACAUUCUAGAAAAUGGCCAAAUUACUUGACUGUUUUUUUUUUCCCCUCUCUCCCCCUCCCCAGUCUAUCCAAGGAGGUUAUUCCACAUGUAAAAUGUAAGGCCAACUUGCUUAACUCAGAUAACAUUGUAAGCCAUUAGUGGGAAAUACAGGAUAACUUUGGUAUUAGAAAUUGUUCCCAACUUGGGAAAAUACUUGCAGUGGAAAAUCAAAGUAAGUAAUUUGCAUAAGAUUUCAUAAUGAGCUCUUUCUGUCAUUUUGUCAUUAAUUAUUUUUUAAAAGGGAACUAGUUGACUCAUUUAUUCUUACUAUACUUUUUAGCAGUUAGUACUUGUGCUUUAUGAGUCAUUUGGGCAUUUCAUCCCUUAUUCACAUUUCUUCUCUUCCACUGACACAUUCGUGUUUUUCUUUGUUGAACUUUAAACACAAAUCAGAAAUAAAUAUAUGACCUAGGUCACCAUAGAGGUUGCUGCAUUGAUACUGGCUUCAGCCUCCUGGAAUGUCUUUCAAGAAUUUUCCACUGAAACAGAAUCAUAUUGUCAAAUGACUGGCUAGUCAUUUACAAUCACAAAUACUUAUUGGAAGGAACACCUUUUAGUAUUUUAAGAUUUAUUUGAGAAUAGAUAAUAGUCCUUCUGGCAGUAAACCUUCCAUUCAUACCAGUCUUGAUUAUCUCAUGUAAGCAGCAGAUAGCUGCAAAAAGUCUACCAUGUACAAAUGUCUCUUCUUCAUUUUUAAUAACACAUGGUAACAUUGUUUAGCCUUGUUGGGGUUGGUAAAAAUGUUGAAAAGGGGAUGGAGGUUUGAACAAAAGCCACUCAGUCCAUCGUGACUUGCUGCUUUUCGCCAAAUGUUUUUAUUUAUUACCAAGAUGACAUCAACCUAACUCAGUGCUUCCACUGCUAUUGAUUAGAGAACUAUUAUACAUUCAUAAAAUGAACUUUCCACUUCUUGUAGCCUUUGUUGUUAUGAAAUAAAGAUCCUUGCUAUAGCA